AUACGGAGGGUACAAGCGUUAAUCGGAAUUACUGGGCGUAAAGCGCGCGUAGGCGGUUUGAUAAGUCGGAUGUGAAAUCCCCGGGCUCAACCUGGGAAUUGCAUUCGAUACUGUCAGGCUAGAGUGUGGUAGAGGGAAGUGGAAUUUCCGGUGUAGCGGUGAAAUGCGUAGAUAUCGGAAGGAACACCAGUGGCGAAGGCGGCUUCCUGGACCAACACUGACGCUGAGGUGCGAAAGCGUGGGGAGCAAACAGGAUUAGAAACCCUUGUAGUCC
rnacentral:rRNA from 1 species